rnacentral:lncRNA from 1 species
GCCUCCUGCACCUGAAGAAAGUGGCCCACUCAUGAAAACGCCCAGGCUCCCAGUUGGGGAGAACCAUCUCCACCAGAGGGGGAUCCAGAUCCAGUGGAGAAGAAUUUUUUUUAUUGUUUUUAGAUAAACUGUCUUCAAAUAGUGCAGCACGGGCACUUCCUGCCUCGAUGGAAAUUCAGCACACUUCCUGCUGCUCACCUGCCCCAUCUGUGUUUAUCUUCUGCCUCAAUCAUGUGAAGGCCAAAUGGGUGGCAUGAGUGCAACUGGGCCAGCUGUGGCUGGGGGCAGCAACAGCUCCAUGUUUUGAGGCCAGAUGGAGGCUGCUUUGGUCUAGGAGGUGGAGGGGAGCCAGUGGCUGCUUCAGGCCUCCCUGUGUGGAGUGCUUGGAGCUGGAAGUAGAAGCAGGGCCCAACUGGGGGCUCCAUUGGAUGAAGCACACCAUCCCAUCCAAAAGCCUGCUCCCAAUGUCCUCACUGAGCUCUCUUUGUUUCUUUCUGUUUCUUCUAUAUGUAUACAUAUCAAAUAUGUGUGUGUGUGUGUGUCUAUGUAUGUGUGUGAAACAGAAAGAAGCAAAGAGUCCUUUGCACUUUAUCAAAGGUACUCUACUAAUUCCUUUACACUUUUAUCAAAGAUAUUCACUUGUCAGGGACACUAGAGCAGUGUCCAGGCUGCAUGUAACAUCAGCUGGGAAGCUUUUAUAAAUUAAAACAACUAUAAAAU